rnacentral:tRNA from 1 species
GCACUUGUAGCUCAAUCGGCUGAGCCGCCGUCUCUUAAACGGUGGGGUGCAGGUUCGAAUCCUGCCGGGUGCA